GACGAACGCUGGCGGCGUGCUUAACACAUGCAAGUCGAACGGAAAGGCCCUGCUUUUGUGGGGUGCUCGAGUGGCGAACGGGUGAGUAACACGUGAGUAACCUGCCCUUGACUUUGGGAUAACUUCAGGAAACUGGGGCUAAUACCGGAUAGGAGCUCCUGCUGCAUGGUGGGGGUUGGAAAGUUUCGGCGGUUGGGGAUGGACUCGCGGCUUAUCAGCUUGUUGGUGGGGUAGUGGCUUACCAAGGCUUUGACGGGUAGCCGGCCUGGGAGGGUGACCGGCCACAUUGGGACUGGGAUACGGCCCAGACUGCUACGGGAGGCAGCAGGGGGGAAUAUUGCACAAUGGGCGGAAGCCUGAUGCAGCAACGCCGCGUGCGGGAUGACGGCCUUCGGGUUAUAAACCGCUUUCGCCUGUGACGAAGCGUGAGUGACGGUAACGGGUAAAGAAGCACCGGCUAACUACGUG
rnacentral:rRNA from 1 species